ensembl:snRNA U6 U6 spliceosomal RNA
GUGGUUGCCUCAGCAGUACCUACACUAAAACUAGAACAAUACAGAGAAGAUUAGCAUGGUUCCUGUGUAAGGAUGAGACACAAAUUCAUUAAGUGUUGCAUACUUUU